GAUUAGUAAUAUUAAAAGCUGCUAACUUUUAUAUAGCGAAUAGCUACGAAAAU
rnacentral:tRNA from 1 species